UACGGAGGGAGCUAGCGUUGUUCGGAUAUACUGGGCGUAAAGCGCACGUAGGCGGCAUCGCAAGUCGGAUGUGAAAUCCCUCGGCUUAACCAAGGAAGUGCAUCCGAAACUGCAGUGCUUGAGUACUUAAGAGGAUCGCGGAAUUCCCGGUGUAGAGGUGAAAUUCGUAGAUAUCGGGAGGAACACCAGUGGCGAAGGCGGCGAUCUGGGAAGAUACUGACGCUGAGGUGCGAAAGCGUGGGGAGCAAACAGG
rnacentral:rRNA from 1 species